UACGUAGGUGGCAAGCGUUGUCCGGAUUUACUGGGCGUAAAGAGCGCGCAGGCGGUUGAAUCAGUCGUAUGUGAAAGCCCCCGGCUCAACUGGGGAGGGUCAUUCGAUACUGUUCGACUCGAAGGCAGGAGAGGGAAGCGGAAUUCCCGGUGUAGUGGUGAAAUGCGUAGAUAUCGGGAGGAACACCAGUGGCGAAGGCGACUACCUGGCCUGUGCUUGACGCUGAGGCGCGAAAGCUAGGGGAGCAAACGGG
rnacentral:rRNA from 1 species